UGCGGCCUACGGGAGGCAGCAGUGGGGGAUAUUGCACAAUGGGGGAAACCCUGAUGCAGCGACGCCGCGUGAGUGAAGAAGUAUUUCGGUAUGUAAAGCUCUAUCAGCAGGGAAGAAAAUGACAGUACCUGAGUAAGAAGCCCCGGCUAACUACGUGCCAGCAGCCGCGGUAAUACGUAGGGGGCAAGCGUUAUCCGGAUUUACUGGGUGUAAAGGGAGCGUAGGUGGCAAGGCGAGUCAGAAGUGAAACCCUCGGGCUCAACCUGAGGCAUGCUUUUGAAACUGUCAAGCUGGAGUGCUGGAGG
rnacentral:rRNA from 1 species